rnacentral:misc_RNA from 1 species
AAGAGUUAGGGUCCUCUGGGCCCGACCUCCCAACCCUUUGUUUACUGAACCUCUGUUGCUUCGGCGGACCCGCCUCACGGCCGCCGGAGGAUCGCCCCCAGGCGUCCUCUGGCCAGCGUCCGCCGACAGCCACUCUCAAAACUCUUGAAUAAAUCAUGUCAUUGUCUAAGUUAUGAUGCAAAUCAAUAAAGCA